rnacentral:rRNA from 1 species
GACGUAGGAUGCAAGCGUUGUCCGGAAUUAUUGGGCGUAAAGAGUUCGUAGGCGGUUGCCUAAGUCUGGUGUUAAAGCCCGAAGCUCAACUUCGGCAUGGCAUUGGAAACUGGGCGGCUAGAGUGCGGUAGAGGUCUCGGGAAUUCCAGGUGUAGCGGUGAAAUGCGUAGAUAUCUGGAGGAACACCGGUGGCGAAGGCGGCAUCCUGGACCGGUAUUGACGCUGAUGCGCGAAAGCCAGGGGAGCAAACGGG